rnacentral:ncRNA from 1 species
CAUAGGGGUGCCGAAAGGCUGAGAAAAUACCCUAUGAACCUGAUCUGGGUAAUGCUAGCGUAGGGAGGCGGAGAUG